rnacentral:rRNA from 1 species
AGAGUUUGAUCAUGGCUCAGAUUGAACGUUGGCGGCAGGCCUCAUACAUGCAAGUCGAACGAGAAAGGCCCUUUCGGGGGCCGAGUAGAGUGGCGGACGGGUGAGUAACGCGUAGGAAUCCACCCGGCAGUGGGGGAUAACCCGGGGAAACUCGGGCUAAUACCGCAUGUCGAGCGUCGGCGUAGAGCCGGCGCUGAAAGCGGGGGAUCUCGCGCACGGCUUCGGCCGAAGGCGGAGACCUCGUGCUGUCGGAGGAGCCUGCGUUGGAUUAGCUUGUUGGUGGGGUAAUGGCCUACCAAGGCGACGAUCCAUAGCUGGUCUGAGAGGACGAUCAGCCACACUGGGACUGAGACACGGCCCAGACGUCUACGGACGGCAGCAGUAGGGAAUCUUGCACAAUGGGCGAAAGCCUGAUGCAGCCAUGCCGCGUGUGUGAAGAAGGCCUUAGGGUUGUAAAGCACUUUCAGUGGUGAAGAAAAUGUCGGCGCUAAUACCGCCGGCCCCUGACGUUAGCCACAGAAGAAGCACCGGCCAACUCCGUGCCAGCAGCCGCGGUAAUACGGAGGGUGCAAGCGUUAAUCGGAAUCACUGGGCGUAAAGCGCGCGUAGGCGGUCAAGUUAGUCAGAUGUGAAGCCCCGGGCUCACCCUGGGGAACUGCAUUUUGAUACUGCUUUGACUAGAGUUUGGUAGAGGGAGGCGGAAUUCCCGGUGUAGCGGUGAAAUGCAUAGAUAUCGGGAGGAACACCAGUGGCGAAGGCGGCUUUCUGGACCAACACUGACGCUGAGGUGCGAAAGCGUGGGUAGCAAACAGGAUUAGAUACCCUGGUAGUCCACGCCGUAAACGUUGGGCACUAGGUGUGGGACCUUCUUAACGGGUUCCGUGCCGUAGCUAACGCAUUAAGUGCCCCGCCUGGGGAGUACGGCCGCAAGGCUAAAACUCAAAGGAAUUGACGGGGGCCCGCACAAGCGGCGGAGCAUGUUGCUUAAUUCGAGGCAACGCGAAGAACCUUACCUGGGUUUGACAUGUACGGAAAAGCCAUAGAGAUAUGGUGUCCGUAAGGGCCGUACGCAGGUGGUGCAUGGCUGUCGUCAGCUCGUGUCGUGAGAUGUCGGGUUAAGUCCCGCAACGAGCGCAACCCUCGUCCUAUGUUGCCAGCACGUAAUGGUGGGGACUCGUAGGAGACUGCCGGGGUGAACUCGGAGGAAGGUGGGGACGACGUCAAGUCAUCAUGCCCCUUAUAUCCAGGGCUGCAAACAUGCUACAAUGGCCGGUACAAAGGGCUGCUAUACCGCGAGGUUGAGCGAAUCCCAUAAAGCCGGUCUCAGUUCGGAUUGGAGUCUGCAACUCGACUCCAUGAAGUCGGAGUCGCUAGUAAUCCCGGAUCAGCAACGCCGGGGUGAAUACGUUCCCGGGCCUUGUACACACCGCCCGU